rnacentral:rRNA from 1 species
UACGGAGGCGGCAAGCGUUGUCCGGAAUUACUGGGUGUAAAGCGCGUGUAGGCGGGACAGCAAGUCAGAUGUGAAAUUCCCAGGCUCAACCUGGGGGCUGCAUCUGAAACUGGGGUUCUUGAGUGCUGGAGAGGAAAGCGGAAUUCCUUGUGUAGCGGUGAAAUGCGUAGAUAUUAGGAGGAACACCAGUGGCGAAGGCGGCUUUCUGGACAGUAACUGACGCUGAGGCGCGAAAGCGUGGGGAGCAAACAGG